GCAUAUCAAUAAGCGGAGGAAAAAGAAACUAACAAGGAUUCCCCUAGUAACUGCGAAGUGAAGAGGGAAAGCUCAAAUUUAAAAAUCUGGCAGUCUCCGAUUGUCCGAGUUGUAAUUUAGAGAAGUGUUACCCGUGUUGGACCGUGUACAAGUUUCCUGGAAUGGAACGUCAUAGAGGGUGAGAAUCCCGUCUUUGACACGGAUCCCAAUGCAUUGUGGUAUGCUCUCGAAGAGUCGAGUUGUUUGGGAAUGCAGCUCUAAAUGGGUGGUAAAUUCCAUCUAAAGCUAAAUAUUGGGGAGAGACCGAUAGCGAACAAGUACCGUGAGGGAAAGAUGAAAAGAACUUUGGAAAGAGAGUUAAACAGUACGUGAAAUUGCUAAAAGGGAAACGCUUGAAGUCAGUCGCGUUGGCCAGGGAUCAGCCUUCCUUUUGGUUGGUGUACUUCCUGGUUGAUGGGUCAACAUCAGUUUUGACCGGUGGAUAAGAGUGGGAGGAAUGUGGCAUCUUCGGGUGUGUUAUAGCCUCUUAUUGUAUACAUCGGUUGGGACUGAGGAACUCAGCACGCCGCAAGGCCGGGUUUUUAACCACGUUCGUGCUUAGGAUGUUGGCAUAAUGGCUUUAAUCGACCCGUCUUGAAACACGGACCAAGGAGUCUAACAUGCCUGCGAGUGUUUGGGUGGAAAACCCGAGCGCGUAAUGAAAGUGAAAGUUAGGAUCUCUGUCGUGGAGAGCACUGACGCCCUGUCCAGACCUUUUGUGACGGUACAGCGGUUGAGCAUGUAUGUUGGGACCCGAAAGAUGGUGAACUAUGCCUGAAUAGGGUGAAGCCAGAGGAAACUCUGGUGGAGGCUCGUAGCGAUUCUGACGUGCAAAUCGAUCGUCGAAUUUGGGUAUAGGGGGCGAAAGACUAAUCGAACCAUCUAGUAGCUGGUUCCUGCCGA
rnacentral:rRNA from 1 species